rnacentral:rRNA from 1 species
AAAGAUGAAAAGCACUUUGAAAAGAGAGUUAAACAGUACGUGAAAUUGCUGAAAGGGAAACGCUUGAAGUCAGUCGCGUCUUCCAGGGAUCAACCUAGCUUUUGCUUGGUGUACUUUCUGGUUGAUGGGUCAGCAUCAAUUUUAACCGUUGGAUAAAGUCUUUGGGAAUGUGGCAUCUUCGGAUGUGUUAUAGCCCUUGGUCGCAUACAACGAUUGGGAUUGAGGAACUCAGCACGCCGCAAGGCCGGGUUUUUACCACGUUCGUGCUUAGGAUGCUGGCAUAAUGGCUUUAAUCGACCCGUCUUGGAACACGGACCA